CAAACUUCAUAACUCCGCAGUUCACGUAGGCCUACGUAAUUCACGAGUUUCGCAUUGCCAUAGGCAGCUGUCUGUGACUUCGGCAAGGUUCUAGCUGGAAGGAGGACAUUUUGUAUGGGAAGAGAGUGAUGAAAUGCAACUAAGUCAUAUAGAACACUCCUCCUGGCUCCUGUGUAAGCAUCCCCGUUUGACAGAAGGCAAAGGCUCUGUCCAGAAUUCUGCCCACCCUCGCUUGAAAUGUGUCCGGUCUCGCCACGGAACACCCACACCUCUGGAUUUUUCGGAUAACAACCGUCCCGUUCGACUUGGCCGCCGACGCCUGAGAAGACUGUGGGCACACAAAAGAUGCCGAGAUGCCUCUUCGGGGAGGGGGGAGGGCGCACGUGGACAGAGGACAAACCCCAAAUUUAAGGAAGCACUUUUGCAAAGGCAUUGUACAAUUACUGACAGUUUCAUUGUGGGUCUCCCUGCUGGUUUUGCAUACUGAGGCAGAAAGCUUUGUGAUUUAUAAGGAGGAGGGGGCAUUGUAUGUUUCCAUUAACAUCUAAUAUUAACAGACGUCUGAGUUCCAAACCAAUUAAGUAUUCUCUGCUGACACAGUAAUAAGAUCAAAGGAGCUGGCAAGUGAAUGGCCCUGGAAUCUAAUUCAAGGUGACUUUUAGCUGUGAGA
ensembl:lncRNA